rnacentral:rRNA from 1 species
AUACGGAGGGUCCAAGCGUUAUCCGGAAUCAUUGGGUUUAAAGGGUCCGUAGGCGGACAAUUAAGUCAGAGGUGAAAGCCCACAGCUCAACUGUGGAACUGCCUUUGAUACUGGUUGUCUUGAAUUAUAGUGAAGUAGAUAGAAUAUGUAGUGUAGCGGUGAAAUGCAUAGAUAUUACAUAGAAUACCGAUUGCGAAGGCAGUAUACUAACUAUAUAUUGACGCUGAUGGACGAAAGCGUGGGGAGCGAACAGGAUUAGAAACCCUAGUAGUCC